rnacentral:tRNA from 1 species
AGAGGCUUAGGAUAGCACCAGACCAAGGGCCUUCAAAGCCUUAAGCGGGAGUGAAAAUCUCCCAGCCCCUG